rnacentral:rRNA from 1 species
UACGUAGGGGGCUAGCGUUGUCCGGAAUCAUUGGGCGUAAAGGGUGCGUAGGCGGCGCGGUAAGUCGGGUGUGAAAUUUCGAGGCUUAACUUCGAAACUGCAUUCGAUACUGCCGUGCUUGAGGACUGGAGAGGAGACUGGAAUUUACGGUGUAGCGGUGAAAUGCGUAGAUAUCGUAAGGAAGACCAGUGGCGAAGGCGGGUCUCUGGACAGUUCCUGACGCUGAGGCACGAAGGCCAGGGGAGCAAACGGG